rnacentral:lncRNA from 1 species
UCGCAGCUGACUGCAGCCUCAACCUUCCAGGCUGAAGCGAUCCUCCCACCUCAACCUCCCACGUGGCUGAGACUACAGGUGCUUGCCACUAUGCCCAACUAACAUUUGGAAUUUUCGUAUACGUGGAUUCUAGAGGGGUGACAGCGAAACCUCCUACCUCCCGGCAGCCUCUCCAGGCCCAGAACUUUCUCCAGUCAGCCUCUACAGACCAAGCUCAUGACUCACAAUGGCCUAUUUAGGCCCAUACCCUACGUCACGGCAGCCUCCGCAGAUGAGGCUACUGCCUCACAACAGCCUCCACAGGCACAGCUCCAUCGUUACAAUGGCCUCUUUAGACCCAGCUCCUGCCUCCCAGCCUUCUCUCCAGGCCCUGAACUUUCUCAAGUCGACCUCACCAGGCCCAGCUCAUGCUUCUUUGCAGCCUCUCCAGGCCCAGCUCCUGCAUCUUGGUGGCCCCUC